UCCGGUUUGUCACCGGCAGUAUCCCAUGAGUCCCCGACAUAACUCGCUGGCAAUUAAUGACAAGGGUUGCGCUCGUUGCGGGACUUAACCCAACAUCUCACGACACGAGCUGACGACAGCCAUGCAGCACCUGUGUUACCGUUCCCUUUCGGGCACACCCACUUCUCGGCGGGCUUCGGUACGUGUCAAGGGUAGGUAAGGUUUUUCGCGUUGCAUCGAAUUAAUCCACAUAAUCCACCGCUUGUGCGGGUCCCCGUCAAUUCCUUUGAGUUUUAGUCUUGCGACCGUACUCCCCAGGCGGGGCGCUUAAUGCGUUAGCUUCGGCACGGAAGGAAUCGACACCUCCCACACCUAGCGCCCAUCGUUUACGGCGUGGACUAC
rnacentral:misc_RNA from 1 species